rnacentral:rRNA from 1 species
AGCGAACGCUGGCGGCAGGCCUAACACAUGCAAGUCGAACGAACUCUUCGGGGUUAGUGGCGGACGGGGGGGUAACACGUUGGAACGUGCCUUUUGGUUCGGAAUAACUCAGGGAAACUUGUGCUAAUACCGACUGUGCCCUUCGGGGGAAAGAUUUAUCGCCAUUAGAGCGGCCCGCGUCUGAUUGGCUUGUUGGUGAGGUAACGGCUCACCAAGGGGACGAUCAGUAGCUGGUCUGAGAGGAUGAGCAGCCACACUGGGACUGAGACACGGCCCAGACUACUACGCGAGGCAGCAGUGGGGGAUCUUGCGAAAUGGGCGAAGGCCUGACGCAGCCAUGCCGCGUGAAUGAUGAAGGUCUUAGGAUUGUAAAAUUCUUUCACCGGGGACGAUAAUGACGGUACCCGGAGAAGAAGCCCCGGCUAACUUCGUG